UCUUUGAAAAACCUUCAUUUCUAAUUUUCAAAUAUGUGCAUGUGCAUAAUAAAACCUUCAUUUCUUUCUUGGUUAUUAUUCUUUUUCAAGAUUUUCUGGAAAUCCCACAGUUUGCGACAUAGCAAAAGUUUAUACAUUUGGAUUGCAGAAUUGAGCAAUCCUAUGAGUCAAAUCGCAAAACUGCUAACGCUAAUUCCUUGAAUAAUCGAAAAAUCAAUAGUUUUUUGUCAAUAAAUAUUAUAGUACCACAUACAAAAAAAAUAAAUUUGGAGACAGAAAUACUUGACAUGGUCACCUUAUACAUGAAUUUCUUAAUACAAUUUGCAUGAAGUUUUAACUAUUAAACACAAUGUCAAUUAUGGGAGAAACUAACCCAAUGAUGUUACCAGUUGCAGUUGCAUUUACUACAUUAAAGGCAUAAUUUGCUAAUAAUGAUAUCCAACGACUCUUUUUAUUCUUAACAGGAUAACCAACAACAGUACCGGUUUGUGCAUCAUUUUCCUCCUUCAUCAUCUUCAAAAUAAUCGGAUCAAAUACACUUGAAAGAAUGCUUCGAAAAUGCUCAAAAUCAUGUUUUUCUGCAGUAUCAUUAACAUCA
rnacentral:lncRNA from 1 species